rnacentral:tRNA from 1 species
CUAAGGAUUUCGGCAGAAAGCGCCUGACCUCGCGUCGGGAAGAGCUUCUACUGAAUUCUAAGAACAUUGCCGCCGUCCUCAUGUCCCUUCAUUCUGGAACAUAUCUCUUCUUCGGGAGAGAUGUGCACCCGAGCUGGCCUCGCUAGCCCGACGCUAGCCCUAUUGGGCUUGGUUCGGGUUGAUGCGGGGGCCGGUAGCUCAGGUGGUUAGAGCGCACGCCUGAUAAGCGUGAGGUCGUAGGUUCAACUCCUACUCGGCCCACCAUUCCCGCAUCGCUUUGCGACAUGGUUGGGGGCCUUAGCUCAGCUGGGAGAGCACCUGCUUUGCAAGCAGGGGGUCAUCGGUUCGAUCCCGAUAGGCUCCACCAGUCGUUUCCGGAAAUGAAGACAACAGUUUCCGCCUUCGGGCGGGAUUUCGACGGCGCGCUUGCGCGUUGUUCAUCGGCACUUUGACAUUGUGAAUGGGUUUUUCAAUCGAUGCCGCGCUGGUUCGAUUGACUACAGGCAAGCGGUUCGCCGCCUGGCUGGGUCAUGACGAUCAACGCAUGUAAUAUUUGGCUGAGAAAGAAAACAAUCAUCCGCAUCAUUUGCGACGCUGAAUGCCAUUCCCACCGCGGGGAUGUCAGGAUUGUCGUUGGUGGUGUGGACUCU